UAGAGUUUCGUAGUCCUGGCGUCAGGGACGAACGGCUGGCGGCGUGCUUAACACAUGCAAGUCGAACGAUGAACCUGGUGCUUGCACUGGGGGAUUAGUGGCGAACGGGUGAGUAACACGUGAGUAACCUGCCCUCUUCUCUGGGAUAAGCGCUGGAAACGGCGUCUAAUACUGGAUAUUCGGGUCCUUCUGCAUGGGGGGAUUCGGAAAGAUUUAUCGGUGGGGGAUGGACUCGCGGCCUAUCAGCUUGUUGUGGGGGUAAUGGCCUACCAAGGCGACGACGGGUAGCCGGCCUGAGAGGGUGACCGGCCACACUGGGACUGAGACACGGCCCAGACUCCUACGGGAGGCAGCAGUGGGGAAUCUUGCACAAUGGGCGAAAGCCUGAUGCAGCGACGCCGCGUGAGGGAUGACGGCCUUCGGGUUGUAAACCUCUUUCAGUAGGGAAGAAGCCUUCGGGUGACGGUACCUGCAGAAGAAGCGCCGGCUAACUACGUG
rnacentral:rRNA from 1 species